rnacentral:rRNA from 1 species
GUGGAGCGACGAACCAGGGCUUGCCCUGGGGCAGAGCCGCGAACGGGUGAGUAACACGUGGGUUACCUGCCCCGAUGACUGGGACAACCCGAGGAAACUCGGGCUAAUACCGGAUGUGCCCGCAAGGGGAAAGGAAGCUUCGGCCUCCGCAUUGGGAUGGGCCCGCGGCCCAUUAGCUUGUUGGUGAGGUAACGGCUCACCAAGGCUUCGAUGGGUAGCUGGUCUGAGAGGACAAUCAGCCACACUGGGACUGAGACACGGCCCAGACUCCUACGGGAGGCAGCAGUGGGGAAUCUUGCGCAAUGCGCGAAAGCGUGACGCAGCAACGCCGCGUGGGGGAAGAAGGCUCUCGGGUUGUAAACCCCUUUCAGUUGGGACGAAGCUUCGCCGGUGAAUAGCCGGCCGGAGUGACGGUACCUUCACAAGAAGCACCGGCUAACUACGUGCCAGCAGCCGCGGUAAUACGUAGGGUGCAAGCGUUGUCCGGAAUUAUUGGGCGUAAAGAGCGUGUAGGCGGCCCGAUUAGUCCGCUGUGAAAGUCUAGGGCUCAACCCUGGAAUGCCGGUGGAUACUGUCGGGCUAGAGUCCGGAAGGGGCGAGUGGAAUUCCUGGUGUAGCGGUGAAAUGCGCAGAUAUCAGGAGGAACACCAAUGGCGAAGGCAGCUCGCUGGGACGUGACUGACGCUGAGACGCGAAAGCGUG